AACGCACCUUGCGCUCGUUGGUAUUCCGACGAGCAUGCCUGUUUGAGUGUCAUUAAAUUCUCAACCUCAUCGCUUUUGUGAUGAUGGCUUGGAAGUGGAGGUUUUUUGCAGGCUGAAAAGUCUGCUCCUCUCAAAUGAAUUAGUGGGUGCCCCGCGCAAACCUAUCUAUUGGUGUGAUAAUUAUCUACGCCGUGGAUCCUUAGGAUUGCUGUAAAAAGGUGUUUGCCCUGCUUCUAACCGUCUUCGGACAACUUGAACCAUUUGACCUCAAACCAGGUAGGACUACCCGCUGAACUUAA
rnacentral:misc_RNA from 1 species